GGAAAUGUUAUCAUUGAAUCUGGAAUAAGUGAACAUAAACUAACAGGAUGAUUGCCUGCUUCAGACCCAAGAAAGACAGGAAAACGGUAGAGGAGACAUCGUUAAUGAUAAAUGGGCGAAUGCUAUUGGAGUCUUCAGUCGCUUUUAAUAAUGGCAGAGGUAAUCCAAUUCGUAGCUUCUCUUUUCAAGAGCUAAACAGUGCCACAAAUAACUUCGAUCCAAGUCGAAUUUUCUGGGAUGACUAUGGGUUGUAUAAAUUGUACAAUGGUUUUCUACACGAUCGCCCAAUUAUAUUGAAAAAGCUUGAAGGAAACAGAAAGAGUGUAAAGUAUUCUAUUAAAGAUAUUGUCUUUGCAUCACAAUUCAGCUCCCAUAAAAAUGUUCUAAAACUGUUGGGAUGCUGCUUGGAGACUGAAAUUCCCCUUCUAGUUUUUGAGUCUGCAAAGAAUGGAACUCUUCAUGAUCACAUAUACAAUCCUCAUGCACCCAAUUUUCGACCCUUGUCAUGGAAAAGCAGGCUGAAGAUUGCUCUUGGUGUAGCUAAUGCCAUUGCAUACCUUCAUGCUGCAUUCCCCAAGCCUAUUAUUCAUAGAGAUAUCAAACCCUCUAAUAUCUUGCUAGAUGAAGACUAUGUUCCCAAGUUAGUAGAUUUUACUUUAUCUGAAUCUAUUCCUGAAGGUCAUUUCCAUGUGCAGCAUGGAUUGUGCAUAGAGAAUGUUCCCACACACAUACUGGGAUUUCUGGCUCCUGAACAUUUCUUGAAAAGUUUUAUCAAUGAGAAGGUGGAUAUUUAUAGUUUUGGUGUAGUUCUUUUGUCGCUUUUGACUGGAAAAAGGGUACAAAAUCCUUUUCCUUCUGCACCUCCUGGGAACUAUUCUUUGGUACAAGGUGUGAAGAAAUAUAUGGAGACCCAAAAGUUUAAUGAGAUUGUAGUAGACCCUGCAGUUUUAGAAGAGGGACCAUGGCCUGGGAAAGAGCAGCAACUGCAGAACUUCGCAAUGCUUGCACUUCAGUGCACCUGUGAUCUUGAAGACAAUAGACCAGAAAUCAUUGAUGUGGCAAAACAACUCAGGCAGAUGUAUAAGUCUGCAAUCUCAAAUUGCUGACAUAAAUUCUGUGUUGUGUGUUAUUUCAUGGAUUUAAACAUGUUUGAUGUAACCAUGUGUGUAUCUUUCAAAACGAUGAAACUUGUUAUUUCUUCAUCCUACACAGAAAC
rnacentral:misc_RNA from 1 species